rnacentral:lncRNA from 1 species
GCCAGAAUUCUAGAGGAGGGAAAACCCCAGGGCUGCACAGAAUGACAGUCUGCAACGGAAGGACACAAAGGCGCCCAGAAGCCACUCGCUGCAUCUGACUGUGAGAUCUUUCAGAGGAAAGAGGGCUGCUCAGCUUUUCUGAGUCACUGGGUUUAGAUUGACAAUUUGUUCUUGAAGAAAUGAAACUGACAGCAUUGUACCCAUCAAUCACCACCAAAACUCAUCACAGAAGGGGGAGUUUUGUUUGCAAUGAACAAGUCUGCUUAUUAUGAACAAAGGAAACGAAGGAGUUCGAGUCGCCUCUCUUCUUCCUCAGAGCAUCUCACACAAGGACAGCUGCUCAGCAUCUGUGGGAAAUGGUUUUGUGAAAGGGAUGGAGAGCAUUGAUUCACCCUAGUGGACUGGGGAAGUCAAAAGUACAGGGGGCUACCUUAGAGCUCCUGCCACCCAGAUGGAGAGAAUCAGGGGGCUCCUCACUCAGAGGCCACGUGAAGGAAACCGCAGUUACUUCCCUGAGGAGCCCUUCACCACGGCUGCAAGCAGACACCCCCAGGGCACUCAGCUUUUGGCUCAACAAUGAACGGCCCACCUGCCACUGCAGGUGCAGAACGCAUGCUGGGGCUAAAGGUCGGGGUGACUUUUGAAUCAAUUUCUCAUAAUGUAGCCAAUAAAAUACCUCAUUAUGAGCCACCA